rfam:Myotis lucifugus cont2.39539, whole genome shotgun sequence.
AGCGGUUCUGGGGUGAGGCACGCCAGAAUUGGGAUCCCUCCUCUCUGGUUCCAGGUGCGUCACCCUAGAACCAUA